CUGGAAAUUAGGAUUGGAAUCCUGAACUCCUAAAUCCAAACUACAGACUGGAAGUUACCAAAAAAUGUCACAGUGGUUCCUUGAUCAGGUAGAAAGAUGACAGAGCCCAACAUACCAGAACCUAGAAAGGAGGCGAAGGAGGCGGUCUAGAGGGAAGAGCACUUUGGUCAAAGGAUCAGGUGCAUAAAUGCGGAGGAAUGAGGAUGCCCGGCUUGCUGGAGGAUCAAGGGAAGGUAAGAGGGGUAGGUGAAGUCAGGAAGGA
rnacentral:lncRNA from 10 species